rnacentral:rRNA from 1 species
CUUGGUUAGGUUGUCGCUGGCUCUCCGGGGCAUGUGCACGCCUGACGCCAAUCUUUUCACCACCUGUGCACAUUUUGUAGGCUUGGAUAAAUAUGUCUCGAGGAAGCUCGGGUUGAGGACUGCCGUGCUGCAAAACCCAGGCUUUCCUUGUAUUUUUCCAGCCUAUGCAUUUUAUUAUACACUCGGUAUGUCAUGGAAUGUUAUUUGGUUGGCUUAAUUGCCAGUAAACCUUAUACAACUUUCAACAACGGAUCUCUUGGCUCUCGCAUCGAUGAAAAACGCAGACGAAAUGCGAUAAGUAAUGUGAAUUGCAAAAUUCAGUGAAUCAUCAAAUCUUUGAACGCACCUUGCGCUCCUUGGAAUUCCGAGGAGCAUGCCUGUUUGAGUGUCAUGAAAUUCUCAACCUUUUCAGCUUUUUGUUGAAUAGGCUUGGAUUUUGGGAGUUGUUGCAAGCUGCUCACAACUCUGCUCUCCUUAAAUGUAUUAGACGGGGCCCUUGUUGUCUAGCAUUUGGUGUGAUAAUUAUCUACGCCAUUGUGAACAAUGUAAUAGGUCGGCUUCUAAUCGUCUCGUAAAGAGACAAUCUCUGACAUUU